rnacentral:rRNA from 1 species
CAGCCGCCGCGGUAAUACGUAGGGUGCGAGCGUUAAUCGGAGUUACUGAGCGUAAAGCGUGCGCAGGCGGUUAUAUAAGUCAGAUGUGAAAUCCCCGGGCUCAACCUGGGAACUGCAUUUGAGACUGUAUGGCUAGAGUGUGUCAGAGGGGGGUAGAAUUCCACGUGUAGCAGUGAAAUGCGUAGAGAUGUGGAGGAACACCGAUGGCGAAGGCAGCCCCCUGGGCCAAUACUGACGCUCAUGCACGAAGGCGUGGGGAGCAAACAGGAUUAGAUACCCGAGUAGUCACUGUCUCUUAUAA